rnacentral:rRNA from 1 species
GACGAACGCUGGCGGCGUGCCUAAUACAUGCAAGUCGAACGCAGUGGGGACGGGUGAGUAACACGUGGGUAACCUCCCAUCAGAGGGGAUAACACUUGGAAACAGGUGCUAAACCGAUACUGAUGGAUGGACCCGCGGUGCAUUAGCUAGUUGGUGAGGUAACGGCUCACCAAGGCCAGGAUGCAUAGGCGACUGGGACGGGUGAGAGGGCACACUGGGACUGGGACACGGGCCAGACUCCUACGGGAGGCAGCAGUAGGAAAUCGGCGGCAAUGGACGAAAUUCUGACGGAGCAACGCCGGGUGAGUGAAGAUGGUAUUCGGAUCGUAAAACUCUGUAAUGAGAGAAGCGGUAUCUAACAAGAAGGCCACGGCUAACUACGUGCCAGCAGCCGCGGUAAUAC